CAGUCGCCGCGGUAAUACGUAGGGUGCAAGCGUUAAUCGGAAUUACUGGGCGUAAAGCGUGCGCAGGCGGUUAUAUAAGACAGAUGUGAAAUCCCCGGGCUCAACCUGGGAACUGCAUUUGUGACUGUAUAGCUAGAGUACGGCAGAGGGGGAUGGAAUUCCGCGUGUAGCAGUGAAAUGCGUAGAUAUGCGGAGGAACACCGAUGGCGAAGGCAAUCCCCUGGUCCUGUACUGACGCUCAUGCACGAAAGCGUGGGGAGCAAACAGGAUUAGAUACCCCCGUAGUCCCUGUCUCUUAUAC
rnacentral:rRNA from 1 species